rnacentral:rRNA from 1 species
CAGUCGCCGCGGGAAUACGUAGGUGGCAAGCGUUGUCCGGAAUUAUUGGGCGUAAAGCGCGCGCAGGCGGAUCGGUCAGUCUGUCUUAAAAGUUCGGGGCUUAACCCCGUGAUGGGAUGGAAACUGCCAAUCUAGAGUAUCGGAGGGGAAAGUGGAAUUCCUAGUGUAGCGGUGAAAUGCGUAGAUAUUAGGAAGAACACCAGUGGCGAAGGCGAUUUUCUGGACAAAAACUGACGCUGAGGCGCGAAAGCCAGGGGAGCGAACGGGAUUAGAUACCCCAGUAGUCCCUGUCUCUUAUACA